CUAGAUUGAUGGCGAGUGGCGAACGGGUGAGUAAUACAUCGGAACGUGCCCUGUAGUGGGGGAUAACUAGUCGAAAGAUUAGCUAAUACCGCAUACGACCUGAGGGUGAAAGUGGGGGACCGCAAGGCCUCAUGCUAUAGGAGCGGCCGAUAUCUGAUUAGCUAGUUGGUGGGGUAAAGGCCCACCAAGGCGACGAUCAGUAGCUGGUCUGAGAGGACGAUCAGCCACACUGGGACUGAGACACGGCCCAGACUCCUACGGGAGGCAGCAGUGGGGAAUUUUGGACAAUGGGCGAAAGCCUGAUCCAGCAAUGCCGCGUGUGUGAAGAAGGCCUUCGGGUUGUAAAGCACUUUUGUCCGGAAAGAAAUGGCUCUGGUUAAUACCUGGGGUCGAUGACGGUACCGGAAGAAUAAGGACCGGCUAACUACGUGCCAGCAGCCGCGGUAAUACGUAGGGUCCAAGCGUUAAUCGGAAUUACUGGGCGUAAAGCGUGCGCAGGCGGUUGUGCAAGACCGAUGUGAAAUCCCCGAGCUUAACUUGGGAAUUGCAUUGGUGACUGCACGGCUAGAGUGUGUCAGAGGGGGGUAGAAUUCCACGUGUAGCAGUGAAAUGCGUAGAGAUGUGGAGGAAUACCGAUGGCGAAGGCAGCCCCCUGGGAUAACACUGACGCUCAUGCACGAAAGCGUGGGGAGCAAACAGGAUUAGAUACCCUGGUAGUCCACGCCCUAAACGAUGUCAACUAGUUGUUGGGGAUUCAUUUCCUUAGUAACGUAGCUAACGCGUGAAGUUGACCGCCUGGGGAGUACGGUCGCAAGAUUAAAACUCAAAGGAAUUGACGGGGACCCGCACAAGCGGUGGAUGAUGUGGAUUAAUUCGAUGCAACGCGAAAAACCUUACCUA
rnacentral:rRNA from 1 species